rnacentral:rRNA from 1 species
UACGAAGGGGGCUAGCGUUGUUCGGAUUUACUGGGCGUAAAGCGCACGUAGGCGGACUUUUAAGUCAGGGGUGAAAUCCCGGGGCUCAACCCCGGAACUGCCUUUGAUACUGGAAGUCUUGAGUAUGGUAGAGGUGAGUGGAAUUCCGAGUGUAGCGGUGGAAUGCGCAGAUAUUGGGAGGAACACCAGUGGCGAAGGCGGCUUUCUGGGCCAUUACUGACGCUGAGGUGCGAAAGCGUGGGGAGCAAACAGG